rnacentral:rRNA from 1 species
UACGUAGGGUGCGAGCGUUAAUCGGAAUUACUGGGCGUAAAGCGUGCGCAGGCGGUUUUGUAAGUCUGACGUGAAAUCCCCGGGCUCAACCUGGGAAUUGCGUUGGAGACUGCAAGGCUAGAAUCUGGCAGAGGGGGGUAGAAUUCCACGUGUAGCAGUGAAAUGCGUAGAGAUGUGGAGGAACACCGAUGGCGAAGGCAGCCCCCUGGGUCAAGAUUGACGCUCAUGCACGAAAGGCGUGGGGAGCAAACAGG